GGUUCGGUGGCGUAGUUGGUUAUUGCAUCUGUCUUACAUGUCGAAAAAUGUAGUGGAUGUAUCGCAGAAGGUCCCCACUUCGAGCCUGGGUCAAAUCA